GACGAAGAUCCACGUUGACGAAGAGAAGGUCGAUCCGACGGCUUAGAUGACUCGUUGGCAGCAGAUCCCGGCGAAUCCUCCUCCGCCGCUGGUUCAUCCGAUUGCUUCUUCAGAUCCGAAACAAGACCAUCGAUCGGAAGAUUUGGAUCAAGACGACGAGCUUUCUCAAGAAAUUUCAAAGCGCGAGAUCUAUCUCCUGCUUCUAUAGCAUCCUUGCCGAUUUUUAGGCAUUUCAACGCGUCAUCUUUGUUACCAUCCAUUGUGAUUGUUCAACGGAAAAACAAUUUCCCGAUGAUGCUAUCGGAAACUCCCGAGGAAUUAGAGUUUCUCGAAGCGAUUGGAGUUCAUCUAAGAUGUGAGGACUUUCCCAAACGAGCGACGAUUGAAAAAUAUCGCCUCCUCUUCCACAAUCCGCACACAGCUUUCAAGCCUUUCUACAG